rnacentral:rRNA from 1 species
UACAUGGGGUGCAAACGUUGCUCGGAAUUAUUGGGCGUAAAGCGCACGUAGGCGGUCCACUAAGUCGGAUGUGAAAGCCCUCGGCUUAACCGAGGAAGUGCAUCCGAAACUGGCGGGCUUGAGUACGAAAGAGGGUCGCGGAAUUCCCGGUGUAGAGGUGAAAUUCGUAGAUAUCGGGAGGAACACCGGUGGCGAAGGCGGCGACCUGGGUCGAUACUGACGCUGAGGCGCGAAAGCUAGGGGAGCAAACAGG